CAAAAGCUUAUAUCUUGCUGCAAUCUCAUCAUGAAUUGAUAAGAUCCUACUGGUGUUCUAAUAUUUAUAUGAAGUUAAUAUACAAAACAUUAAGAUAGAAAAUCUAUUACAUUUUGUUUCAAUUUGGUUUGAUAGAGUAGUAAAGCCUCCCUCAAGAUCAGAAUGGUGUGGAUUCCAGUGAUUGUGAUGGUUCUGUUUGUUUCUUACACCAGCAUAAUUCAAUGCAUAGAGAGCUCUCUCAUUAUCUUUGUUCUUUUAAUGCUUAGUUUAUGAAUUGAUUUUCUUGGUGUAAAUUCACCUUAGCAAUGAUUUUGAGAGAUAAAAUUGUGGCUUAUAGUUUGGUGCUUCUAAUAUGAAUGUGUAGAUUCUAAACUAUAGAGGGCCUGUUUUUGGUUUUUCACUUAAACUUCAAUAUCUGUAUGUUUGCAGGCUGAGGAUACAACAGAGGAUUAAAAGCGCAGAGCUCAGGAUGUUAACCAAGGAGCAAGAAAAUGAACUUCCGAAUUUUACACCAUUCAUUCCAUUGAUGUCUCCCUUGUUGUAGUGAAGUUGAUCCCAUAGUAGCAUCCUUCUCCGCAGGAGCAGUUGGACUGAUCUCAGCACUGAUGAUGGUUGAAAUAAUAAGCAAAACACUGCAGGAGCAUCAGAGAUGUAAAUAUUGUCUUGGAACUGCUUAUGGCUCAUCUUCUGAUGCAAUGACUAUAAUCCAACAAAGAUCUCCUGUUGUUAAGGUACAUUAGAGCGUUUUACUGUACAUUAAAACUGUUUUGCUUUCCUGUAGUAGUGCUCUACUUUUGAAUGUUUUGAGGGGAUCACAUUAGUUCUAUCAUUAAAAUGAUAAUUCUAAGCAGGGGAUGGUGAUUGAAUUUGCUAAGAAUUCAAUUGAUUAUGUUACUGCCAGCGCCCAGCGGAAAGAAGCAUGUUAUUGUGUUUUCAAGCUUAAACUUUCAGGGGUGGCAGAGAAUUAAUGUACCUCCUUUGUGCUCUAUAACUUUACAUGACUUCUUCUGUUAGUAAACAUGCAAGCAUUCUUUUUUAAUAUAAGUCGAUACUUACUUGCAAAGAGUUACAUUCUUUUGUAAUGUGUCAAAUGACAAAUUUUUCAGUUAUUGAUUUUAGCUUACGAUUGUGAUCA